AAAAAGGGUAUCUGCCAUGACUGGCACAGGGAGGAAAGGGACACUCUGACCUCCUUGCGGAAUCGAUAUCAAGAGAUUUCGGAUGCAGAAUUUUUGUCACUCGGGGCUGCUGAUGAUCGUUCAUCUCGGCGCCCCA
ensembl:snRNA U11 spliceosomal RNA